CAGUCGCCGCGGGAACACGUAGGUGGCAAGCGUUGUCCGGAAUUAUUGGGCGUAGAGGGCUCGCAGGCGGUUUCUUAAGUCUGAUGUGAAAGCCCCCGGCUCAACCGGGGAGGGUCAUUGGAAACUGGGAAACUUGAGUGCAGAAGAGGAGAGUGGAAUUCCACGUGUAGCGGUGAAAUGCGUAGAGAUGUGGAGGAACACCAGUGGCGAAGGCGACUCUCUGGUCUGUAACUGACGCUGAGGAGCGAAAGCGUGGGGAGCGAACAGGAUUAGAUACCCGUGUAGUCCCUGUCUCUUAUAA
rnacentral:rRNA from 1 species